GUCGCGGUUAAGUUCGGGAAUAUUAUAUCCGUCAGAGUUACUGUCUUCGAGAAGAGACGGUGGUUUUGACGGUGGUUUUGUGGUGACGUUGGUAGUACUUGUUAGGGUGGAUGAUAGAGGUCCAGUGGGCCUAGGCCUCUGGAAUAAUGUUUAGGUGAUUAAUGUAGCUUUCCGUAACAUCUGCCGCAAAAUCUGAGUCCGCCUCUGACGGAGGAGAUGCUGAUGUGUAGCUUUG